rnacentral:lncRNA from 1 species
UUUAACCCAAAAUACUAAUAUAUUUUUUUUAGCAGAGUACAAUCGAAGUCUCUCAAAUACACGAGGGUACAUUCACCCCUAUGAACGCACGCACGCACAUCCUACCUCUAUGAGCACCUUCGAGAGACUAAGCCGGCACAUCAUCUUGAGAUUGACGAAGUCGCCACUCACGUCUUCAUUGUCGACGGGAACGUCUCCUCCCACUAAAAACACAUCGCCGAAAGACCUGAAAUAAAUCCAGGAAAAUGCAAGCAACAAUGUCAAGUCUGGGCUUGAACUCUGGUGGACAUGGGAUACCACAGUCCUCCUAACCAUCCAACCACGGAUUGGUUUGCAAAAUACUAAUAUUUUAGGGAACUAAAGAAAAAAUUAAGUGCACACGUACACUAACUGUUAUUAAAUAGUAGAUGACACUGCUUUUAACAAAGGCCCUUUAGCAAAACGGACCGUGCAUCUGUCUUCGUCAAUGGGAUGCAAGCGGUCCUGUUUCACGGGCUGGCCGAACUGGAGCGACGCCCAUUUGUGCAUUUCACGAGCAUUUUUGUUAAUUGGCGCCUGUAGCGUUUGUAAAUGGGCUGGUCUAUCCUGACGCCAUUUGACAACUUUUUUAACUAUAUAAAUUUAUUUUAAUAUUGAUGAACAUUUCGAAAAUUCCAGCGAUAUAUUUCUAAGAUUGAUGAGCUUAUUUGAAUAUCGAUGAACAUUCUUGAAUUUUGAUUAAUAUAUUUUUGAAAAUGGAUUAAGUUAUUAAGAUUUAUAAACUUUUUUCAGUUCAAUGAACUUUUUAAAAAAUACAUGAACUUUUAUUGUAUUUUUAUGAAUUUUACAAAUUUACUUAACUUUUUAAAAGUUUAAUGAACUUUUCCUAGGUCGCAUGAACUUUUUUUCAUUUUUAAUGAACUUUUUUUCAAAUUGAUGAACUUCUUUCAAAAUUGACGAACCUUUUCUAAAGAUACGAACUUUUUUUCAAAUGAAUGAAACUUUUUUCUUUAAAUCUGUAAACCAUUUUAUUUAAAUCUAUAAACCAUUUUUGAUUUCAUAUUUUUAGUUUCGUAACAAAAAAUCAAAAAAACUGGACAGUGCUCUAAUGGGCCGGCCCAUGUGAGGAGCGUUGCAGGCGUCGGAUCGUUAACAGGCGGUGCAGCGCUGCAUAGGAGCUUCCGCCCGUUCGACCUACGUGAGCGACACCCACGCUCGUGUUUCGCUACAGGCCAUACUCCCUCCGUUCCUAAAUAUAAGUCUUUUUAGAGAUUUUACUUGAAGACUACAUACAAAAUAAAAUGAGUGAAUCUACACUCUAAAGUAUAUCUAUAUAUAUCUGUAUUUAGUCUUCUAGUAAAACAUCUAAAAGAACUUAUAUUUAGGAACGGAGGGGGUACAUAGCAAGGGGCGCCCGGCAGAUCUCUGGAAAAAAAAAACGCCCGGCCAUGGUCAACCAUGAAGUGUGGGUUGGGUAUGCUCACCCACAAGUCGGAACGCAGCCAUGGCAGCAAGCUAAAACACACCGUUAAUGAUUUGUCUCCAUUGACGCACACGCACGGCUCAUUGGUGGUGCUGCAGCCACUAGCACAAAACAGAGUUUUACAGGCAACGUGGAAUCGACUAGGGGACGCACCAAAACCCACAAGCAGCGGGGCGCCAAGCCAUGUCUAUUUAAAUGUUAUAUACACACACGUGCAUCAUAUGUGUGCUUAACUGAUUUUCAUCAACAACCCAAGAAUGAUUUUCCCCGAAAAGAAGAAAAACUAAGAACCAAUGAUUCAAAUCUUCCAAAGCAAACCAGCUCCGAUCACCAUGGCGUAUAUGCUGAGAUGCAUGAUUUAGGCAUCCAUCCUUUAACUCAUUGGGAUUUUAGUUAGCUACAAUCCAUCUCUGGGGCCACUGAUUAGUUCGAGGAUGGCCCCGUGCAGUUUUUUGAGCUGGCUCGAAUGAUUGGGACAUGGAAAAAUUCAUGGAACAAUUCAUGGGAAAACGGAAAGAGGCCGGCGGCGUCUCACCUUUUCAGAUUCGUCAAAGGAGCAAUUCAUGGAAAAAGAAUCCGAGACAAACAAAACCUACCAGAGUGGUUGUACUAGUAACUCUAUCUCGUCCUAACCCUAUCCCCUCGCACGCCCUCAAAAACAGGAAACGGAGAAAAGGUAGAGAAGAGGAAAUGACACUGCUUCUCUCAAAGCUCUAACCAUCGCCCAUGGUUCGUACACCAAUAAAAUAUUGAAGGGAUAAUGAAAUCGCAUCACUGGGCUGGGCAUCUAAGCAGAUAGUAGCACUGAGGAGGGAUUUUUCUCUUUUACGUAGAGGCUCUGUGUUGGAACACACGGAUGUGACGGCAACACAUUUUCCUGAUGAUAACGAACACUGGUUUUCCGGAUGAUGAUCUACCAAUAACGCGAACGCUUACUUAAUUGAACGGCCGGCGGGCGAACAGUACAUACACUGUUCAAGAAGAAAGUGAGGGGAGGUACGUACACACUGCUGAGCCGCAGCUACUCGUAGCAGCUAUUGGGUGGUUGGACCAAGGAUGGCGCAUUAAUUGGUUGCUACCACUGAUUUUUCUACAGAAAAAACUGCAUACAUAAAGGGGGCGUUUGCUUAACUGCAUUACUCUCAACCAGAUAGGCGAGGGAAGAAAUCAGCAUGUUUUGGUUGUCUUUCGGUCUUUCCCGCAUACAAAUCUUGACACGCAUGAACCUUAAAAUACUGCUAAGUCAGGUCCACUUGGAACACUAGUUUUCAACGAGUCAGAGCAACUCUAACCACACGACCUAUUCCGUUCGUCGCGGUUCGUUUAGAUCCGCACGGAUAGAAAAGUCGGUCCAACGCGCUAACACAAACGGACGUGCGUCCGUUUUUCGUCCGCGUGCGGGUCCAUUUCCAACCCAAUUUGGAGUCUUAUUUGGGUCGGCGCAGACACAAAGCGGACGGGAACGACGCGUGCGUACUCCUUCCCCUCGCCCGCGAGCCGGUUGUCGUAGCUAGGAAUGAACCUAACAGUAGAGGUGAGGGUACGAAAGGAGAGGACAGAGUCAUAGCUACGGGGAGCUUGUACACAAGAUGUAUGAGUUCAUGCCCCUCUCGUGGAGGUAACAAUCCUACGUCUCAGUGCUCAAGAGCUCUUGCAGUAUGGAAUGUGUGUUACAGGGGGUGCGAACCCUUGUGCCAGAGGAGACGGUGACUUAUAUAGAGUGCGCUACCCCUCACCAAGGCCCAGACAACCAAGGGUUCGAGUAAUGAAGUCAAAGGUGUGCGUUACUGAUAAUGUACGUAAUAAAUGUUACUUAUGGUGAUCAGCCGAAUGUUUGCCCUUUAGUCACCUUGGAGUGACUUCUGAACUUCCGCGGUCGACUGGCUUCAUGUUCUUUCGAGUGGAAGUCUUCUAUCGAGUGGAUAGAACAAAUCUCUGAACGAAUGCUCUAUCGAGUGACUCAUGGUGAAUCAGUCUGAAUCUCCUUUGAAAUCUUCAAGUCCUUAAUCUUGUGUCCUUGGGUAGGACCUGUAGGUCAGGCCUAUGACCCUAUCCUAGAUACAUAUCCCCAUCAAUAGCCCCCGAAUGGAUCGGGGGUCGAGUGCAAAGUGGUCGAUGCAGAUUCAAUUGAGCAUGCCAAACUCCGAACGCAUAUCAAGGCUUGGCAAAAACGGGCGUCGAUUGAAGUAUUUGCCAUUCGCCCCGAUCGAUUCUGUCUUAAAAUACUUCCGAGUGAAUUGUAAAGUGAAAAUUGGUCCGAGUGAUCAACAGGAUCUGGUGAUGUGACGGAUCGCUUCGUCAGGCCCGGAGUUCAUGGGAUUCGAAAAUUUGAUAAGCACGCGUUGAACGGUGAUGACACAACAAACGGGGUAAAUGAGAGCCUGACUCCUCGAUUAUCGUGUCGCCCUUAUCGCCAUGUAUCGUGCUUCCUCUGAUAUCGGGAUAUACAGAGAUCUGCGGGCCCAUAGGUUAGUGACUCACUCGGGCAGCUAUAAAACGAACCGAUGCUAGGGUUGGAACGGUGCCCCUUCUCAAUCUCCCUCUUUCCCUCAUCUCCCCUGCCUCUCGAGCUCUGCUCAGAUAUGUCUCUGCCACCACCGUUGAGAUGACGAAAUCGAAGACGAGCAAACUCGAGUGGGCCAAGAAGGGAGUCAGCGCCAAGAAGCCAUCAGUAGCUCGGGUUGCGUUGCCGUCGGCCUGGAUCUAAGGGGAUUUUCUCCCGUCAUCUGUCAAGGAUAUCGAUGUCUUGAACCUCGUCCACGAUGGAUUGAUAAUCGCCGAUUCCUGGAGGUUACCAGCGAGGGAGCUUGAGCCAGAGUCGUGCGAAGGUGAGAGAGUUCUUCUCACCACCCAUGUAGAGCGAGGUUUUUCUUUGCCUCCCCACAAUUCAUUUGUGGGUUCUUGAACUUUUUUGGUGCCCAGCUUCAUCACCUUCCUCCGAAUGCUAUCGCGUACCUUGUUGCAUUCAUCACAUUGUGCGAGUGUUUCUUGGGUUGUCCUCCUCACUGGGGACUGUUCAAACACAUCUUCACUGUCCUCUUCAGUGUUCACUCACUGUCCUCCUCACUAGGGACUGUUCAAACAUAUCUUCACUGUCCUCUUAAGUGUUCACUCACUGUCCUCCUCACUGGGGACUGUUCAAACACCAUUAUCACACUUGAGCAUUGGAUGUAAUUAAUAUUUGAGUAUGUUGCACUAAUGAAUCAAUGAUAGAGCAUGAUGGGCUAGGGAUAACGUUCUUUAGCAUUGAUAUUUUCGAAGACUUAGUUGCUUGUUGAUAUGCUUGAGUAUUGAAAUCUUCAUGUCAAAUUAUAGACUAUUGUUUUGCAUCAUCUACAUGUCCAUGUGUCCAUGUUGAAAGAAAAAUAAUAUGAUGAACAUGAAAGACAACAUUCCACAACUAAAAAUUCUGUUUUUAUGAUUUACCUACUCGAGGACGAGCAGGAAUUAAGCUUGGACGCUCAUACGUCUCCCACGUAUUUAUAAUAUUUCAUAUCAUUUUUAUACCUUUUAUAAUCAUUUUAUAGCAAUUUCAUAUCAUUUUUUGGGACUAACCUAUUGACAAUAGUGCCUAGCGCCAGUUGAUGUUUAUUUAUUUAUUUUUCUUUACAGAAAAUCCAUAUCAGAUGAGGUCCAAUUGCCACAAAACUUUACAUAUAAUUUUUUUGGACUAGAAGGAAACUUGGAGGUCAAUAUUGAGCAGCAGCCAAGGCCCAGGUGGCCCACUAGACACCACGACAAGCUAGAGGCCUGUGGCAUGACCUGGUGUCUAGUGGGGCCCUCCAGAAGCUUCUCACCUCUUCUGAGCUUUAUAAAUACCCCUUAUAUUACAUAAACCCUAGAGGAGUUGAUAAAAAAUCAUUUCAGCCGCCGCAAGUUUCAGAUCCACGAAAACCAAUCUAGAGCCUUUUCGAGAGAAGAACACGAUCAUGGAAGGGUUCACCAUCUCCACCGGUGCUCCUCCCAUGAUGCGUGAGUAGUUCAUAUGAGACCUACGGGACCGUAGGCACUAACUAAAUGGCUUUCUCUCUCGUUUUGUUUCUCAAUACAAUGGUCUCUUGGAGAUCCAUAUGAUGUAACUCUUUCUUUUAUGUUGUGUUCGUUGGGACGCGACGAAUUGUGAGUUUAUAAUCAGAUAUAUGAAAACAUAUUCAUGCUUGAUUAUUAUAGCCUCGUAUUUCUUCUUUUUGUCUUGCCAACUUAAUCUUUGAUCUUGCAAUGGGAAGAGGUGCUUUGUGAUGGGUUUGAUCUUGCGGUGCUCAAUCUCAGUGACAGAAAGAGACAUGACACGCAUGUAUCAUUGCCAUUAAGAAUAAAAAGAUGGGGUCUAUUCCUACAUGAAUAGAUCUUGUCUACAUCAUGUCAUCGUUCUUAAGGCAUUACUCCAUUUCUCCAUAAACUCAAUACACUAGAUGCAUGUUGGAUAGCGGUCGAUGUGCGGACUAAUAGAAGUAGAUGCAGACAAAAGUCGGUCUACUUAUUUUGGACAUGAUGUCUAUAUACAUGAUCAUUGUCAUGAAUAGCGUCAUAAUUAUUUGUUUCUCUAUCAAUUACCCGACAGUAAUUUGUCUACCCACCGCUUGCUAUUUUCUCGAGAGAAGCUACUAGUGAAACUACGACCCCCGGACCUACUUCACAUCAUCUAUUUGCAAUCUCUACUUUGCUAUUUGAUUUUCCACUUUAUUUGCUCUUCACAUCAUCUUGUGUGGACCUUGAUGAGUUCUAUUUUUCUAUCACUCUUAUUUGCAUCUAUCAAUCUAUCCUCUUAUUUGCAUCUAUCAAUCUAUCCUUACUUUACGCACGAGGGAUUGACAACCCCUCUACGCAUUGGGUUGCGAGGAUUUGUUAUUUGUGUGGAGGUACUGCUUACAUAGUCUUGUUGAUCUUCCUACUGGAUUGAUACCUUGGUUUCUUAACUGCGAGAAAUACUUGUCGUCGCUGUGCUACAUCAUCCUUUAAGAUUGGAGGGAAACCAAUGCACCUGCGAGGAACGUCAUACACCAAGGCUUCGAAAGAUUCCUUUCUGGAUACGGUAUCAUCUUGUAAUUCGGCCUCUAAUGACAAUCAUAGGGCGCCCCGUGAGUCCGGUACAUGGAGAUAGGUCAGUGGCCCGAGAACCCCUUAGUCCCGGACUCCCUCACCUAACCAUCCUCUUGGUUCAAUCUCUGUCAUCAGCCUCCCGGCAUCUUCCUCGUUGGUUGCUCUCAAGUACUGAGGUCCAAAAAACAUCAAUAAACUACUUUAGUGAACCUUCAAAAGCCUCCAAGAUUAUGUCUUCACCAAUGCAAAUAUAGUCCUCAAUGGCAUCGGCCAAACACCCAUAUGCAAAGACUCGAAAAGUCGCGGUGCACUUCAUUAGAGGGCUUGCACUUAUCUCUCCACUUGCAUUUAUCCGGAGCUUGAACUAGUCAUGAUACUUCUCAACAACUUUUGCAAUGCUGAGAAAAAGGCGUGUGUGGAUCCGGAAGCGCCGACAAAAGUACUUCACCGGAUAGGUUGGAUUUGGGGCAAAGUAGUCUCUCAUGAUCUCAGCAUAGCCCUCCGCUCUAUCACGGGUAAUGUGUAUGAGGCCAAACUGCGAUCCUGUCCUAGAGCGCGAGAUAUCAUCACUGAAAAUCAUGCCUAAAACAAUUUCAAAGUCUUCGUCGUCUUCUUUCUUUUCGGAUGACGACGAGUCCUCGAAGACCAUCUCCCUCAACCUCUUCUCUACAAUUCAAACAACUUGCUUCAAUCCAAACAGUUCGAUUAAAAAAGAAACGAACGAGAAAACUGACCUAGGCAAUCCGUCGAACACUUGCGAUGCGGUGGUGAUGCAUCAGCCAGUCGUCGUCGUUUCGACCAAACUAGCGGGCGGCGAAGCAUGGGAUCGACCUGCAAUAACGCGCAAGCAAGGUCAGAUGCAAGAACAGCCAAAUAUGAAGAAGAUAUGAAUCAAUCCGACGACGGUCAUGGCGACGACGUUUCACCUUGUUUCCGAAGACCACGACGGGGGACGAACGGGCUGGCGUCGGAUAGAUGCCCGAAAGGUAAAUUAUCAUAUGGUAUUCAGUUUAGAGGAUCCGCUAGUUACUGGCUAAAGAAAAAAAAACCAAAAUUAUCUUCCUUUUCUUUUUUGACACGAGAUAGGAAAUCGAUUAGAAUUGCUCUUACAAGUUACAUCUGCGGUGGCCGAUUCAUGGGAGUGCAACCUGUGAUUGCAAAACAUUGUUGUAUGUGAACAGUCGAGGUCCAAUAUUACGUUCUUGCCGACGACCAGCGAAUUGACACGCUUGGCAGCUAGCUUCAAGGAUCACCGAAAACGAAACGACUGGAAACAGUGCAGUGAACCAUCGCCACCGUGUGGAUAAACAUCUCAUCCCGAACCGAGCCGGUCGACAGGCGCGUCUACGAGGCACCAACGCGCCGGAAAAGUCACACACGAAACGGAAGCAUCGCAUCGCACGCCCAGAGAAAAAGGCAAAACUGUUAGGCAACUACCGGACCCGCAACUACCACCACACAUCAACGGAAGACUGCGAGACGAGACGGUUCAUCAUCACCCACGUCCACCUUACUGCUACCAUCUUAUCUUUACUACCAAUCUUUUCGAUCAAUCCGUAAACGGCCCCUCAAUUCAACUCCCAACAGCCCACAUGCUUGGAACAGUGCCCCUUGUCCUCGCACCCAUCGCCUCUCUCGGCUCAUCGUAUGUGAGGAGGCACCGAGCAGGUCUCCAAAAGGCCGCACCACAUGCACCAACCAACUUGUUCGUUAAAGGCUCAAGGCGGCUUUAAAAGGUGGGCAGCACGCUUAAUAUCUUAACGUCCUAGUGAUACAACACUCAGCUGGGAUCAUGCAAAGCAAAACCACUACCAUUAGGCAAGAAGUAAGGUGUAUCACCUUGCGCUUGCUAGCUAGUAGAGUAUACGUGGUUAAUCAAAGUGGGAAGGCCAUGAUGAUGUGUGUAAUCAUGAUAACUCGGGCUGCUCUGCCUAGUGCGGAAAAUGGGACCGAGCAGCGCUGCUUAUAAUACUCCAAUUGGUAAUGCUAAUUUUCUUUCCUUUAAAAAAAAAAUAUACGCCAAAGGCGUACCAUAAACUUGCACUACCACAAGAAGCGCAAGCAAUGCAACAUGCCAACAUUAAGUGAAGUCAACACCCCAUCCAACACGGCUCCUCGCAAAAAAGUUGUGGUCUCUACGUACCUCUCGCACCUCGCCUGCUUCCACUCCUGCCAUUCCGCGAAAAAACAUGAUCUCUACGUACCAGCUCCCUCACCGUACGCCGCCUCUCUAGGUUUCCAACAACUCUAUCACUCCUUUGCUUUCACAAUAGUUUCCAGCUAACAAAGACGAUGAGCGAAUCAAACCCUCCUCCUGUCUUCGUUCGGGGUGUGCUUUUUUCCCUUGCACUUAAAAGAACACCACGCAAGAGAGAGCCGCAGGAACCGAACUCCGGCCGCUGUGGGCAGUCAAAGCGAGAGAGACCCGCAAGGCCGCAACACAACACAAUCAAAUGACGUGCUACCGAAUCAUGAAAGUAGAAGGAGGACGUGCCGCUUUGACUAGGGUGGAAAAACAAACGCCCCGCCAAGGAAAAGAAAAAGACCUGCGUGGAAAAUGGGGGCGGCCCGGCGCCGAACAGUGGUCUACUACUAGUUUUUUUUUUUGGUUGAGGGAUGACAGUGGUCUGCUAGUGCUUGACCCAGAAGCAAGGGAUCCGAAUAACAAAAUCAGCCCAUCACUCACAUGCUGGAUGAUGCUGCCGCUCAGACAGUGACGCGGAACGUCUCGGUAGUCGGUAGCAUAAGCAAAAUGUUGAAUUGGUCACUCCUCGUGGUACGCAACCCGCACCCACUCGCCGCGGAGUACCGCCGCUCGUACCGUCGUACCUACCCACAUGUCUAUCUCCUGCGCAAAUCUCUCUGAUUUUUAUUUUGGACACAAACAAUACAAUACACCCGUAGACGCUCGUAUACAUACAUACACACAUGUAUAAAAAGUUCGAAAUAAACUCAGAAAUACGAAUACCUGAGUAUAUCACCUCGACCGAACUAGUAUUUGCCACGCGUUGAUAACCUUAGCCUACUUGCCGCCAGGGAAAAGAAAUGAUAUCCUCGUCUACUCGGCUCGCAGUAGUAAAUGCGCUGCGCUCACCAGUCUCAGUGCAGUCUACUCCAGUCUCCACCACAGGCGCCAACGCCAUUACAAUAGUGGUAGUAAAUUCGUCGCAACUUGCACAUCCGAGCCGAGCUGCGUCGCCGCCAUUAUUCAUUCCUGCUUUCGCAGCUCGGGUGCUGGCUGCGAAUCCUUUCGCCUCGGUGGUGGUGCUGGUGUGGCUGGCUGGCUGGUGACCCCUGUCGGCAGGCAGCCAUGGGGAAAGCUGCCAUUUGGCGGUGCUUUUGGACCUAGCUCCUUGUUCCUUUCGUCGCGCCGUUCCUCCCACCACCUUCCCUUGAUCUGCGCACUGAUUGAUGCCGGCCUGAGGGAAGGAGAGAGAGAGAGAGAGGGACAAUGGUAGGCGGGGAGGGGGAGAUCGGGCGGCGGGGGGCUCUGAUCUGCUGCGGCGCGUGGUAGGUAGGUAGAUGGUGGUGCGCCGUGCUUGAAUCUUGAGCGCGAGGCGAGCCAUGUCGGAGUCUAGCAGGGCGUUCAAUGUCGACGGCGGCGGCCAGCCGGCCGACGGGGCGCGGGGAGGACGGAAGGGCGGCGGCGGCGGGAGCGGGAGCGGGAGCGUGCCGUUCCACAGGCUCUUCGCGUUCGCGGACAGCGCCGACGCGGCGCUGAUGCUGGUCGGCGCGGUCGGCGCGGUGGCCAACGGCGCCGCGCUGCCGCUCAUGACCGUCCUCUUCGGCGGCCUCGUCGACGCCUUCGGCGGCGCGGCUGCCGGCAGCGGCGACGUCCUGGCCCGCGUCUCCCAGGUCUCCCUCGAGUUCGUCUACCUCGCCAUCGCCUCCGCCGUCGCCUCCUUCGCCCGUAAGUGCCUGCCGCCACCCUGUCACUUGGAAGCUUCCAGCUGCUGCCAUGCCAUGCCAUGCGACCCGUGAAAGUUUAGUUCCUCUGUCUGACAUCCUGUGAACUCAGAGGUGACCUGCUGGAUGAUCACCGGCGAGCGGCAGGCGGCGCGGAUAAGGAACAUGUACCUGAGGACCAUCCUCCGGCAGGAGAUCGCCUUCUUUGACAUGUACACCAGCACCGGCGAGGUCGUCGGGCGGAUGUCCGGCGAUACGGUCCUCAUCCAGGACGCCAUGGGGGAGAAGGUCGGCAAGUUCAUCCAGCUGAUGGUGACGUUCUUUGGAGGCUUCGCUGUUGCCUUCGCGCAGGGCUGGCUCCUCACCCUUGUCAUGGUGGCCACCAUCCCGCCGCUCGUCCUCUCCGGCGCGGUCAUGUCCAAUGUCGUCGCCAGGAUGGCGUCGCUGGGGCAGGCCGCCUACGCCGAAGCGGCAGUCGUCGUCGAGCAGACCGUCGGCUCCAUCAGAACAGUAAGGUUCCACUCUACAAUUCAGAGCAUUGCGACGAAUUUUGCAACAAUGACAAGAAUGUGGAACACAAAUCACCACAGGUUGCAUCUUUCACCGGCGAGAAGAAAGCGGUGGAGAAGUACAACAACUCGCUUAAGUGCGCUUACAGUUCCGGUGUCCGGGAAGGCCUAGUCGCUGCCAUCGGCAUGGGCACCGUCAUGAUGCUCCUGUUCUGCGGCUACUCCCUGGGGGUAUGGUAUGGAGCCAAGCUGAUCCUAGAGAAGGGAUACACCGGUGCCCAGGUCAUGAAUGUCAUCUUCGCGGUGCUUACCGGCUCGCUGUAAGUUCUCUGCGCCUUCCUGAUCAGCAAUUCAGUUGUAGCAAUCUCAGUUUCAUGAUUGACAGUUACUCUUAUUAUCAGGAAAGAGAAGGAAUGUUUAGGUUUAGCAACCUUCAACAGUUGCCAUUUCAUUUAGACCGGAUAAGGCAAUCUUAGCCAUCCAUUAUGGAUUUCGUGCCGAUUUUGGCAAGUGUUUGACAGGGAUAAGCAAUGUUGGCUUUCGUGCGCAAACUGCUAACCCAACUAUGUUUGUAGGGUCUUAUUUAGUUGGCAGCAGCUAACCAAGCGCAUAUCAAAGUCAUUGCUGUCUUAACUAUCAGGAAAGAGAAGGAAGGUUUAACAACCUUCAAAAGGUUGAUGUUUCAUUUAGGGGGGACUGAUAAAGCAAUCUUAGCCAUCUAUUUUGGAUUUUGUGCUUAUUUUGGCAAGUGUUCGACAGUGAUAUGCAACAUUAGGUUUCUUGUGCAAACUGCUAACCCAACUAUGCGUGUAGGGUCGGUCUUAUAUAGUUGGCAGCAGCUAACCAAGUCCAUAUCCAAGUCAUUGUUGUCUUGACUUCACAGUUCACAGCAAUCAUAGCCAGUCAGUGUAGCACGAAACAAACAUUUGAUAAAUUUGUAUGGGUUUUUGCAAUCAUGUUCCCACCAACUCUUUCAUUGUUUUAUGGAAGACCAACUAUUCUUUGAUUUCAUCAGCUGCUGCCUGAAAAGAAUUACUCAUUAGAUAAAUUUCAGCAGUUGAAAUUUGCAGUAUUACUCAAUCGUCUACUGCUAUAUUUUUGUACCACCGACCAAUUUUCCCUGUUCAUAUAUGUGAUUGAACCCAUUAAACUGAAACCCAUUAGUUUGAGAAGCUGAGACUUUUCUGUUGUGUUUAUCAGAGCUCUAGGACAGGCAUCACCAAGCAUGAAAGCAUUUGCAGGAGGACAGGCUGCAGCAUACAAGAUGUUUGAAACAAUCAACAGGGAGCCCGAAAUCGAUGCAUACAGCACAGAGGGUAGGAUGCUAGACGAUAUUCAGGGGGAUAUCGAGUUCAGAGAUGUUCACUUCUCUUACCCAACAAGGCCCAAUGAGCAAAUAUUCAGAGGUUUCUCCCUUUCCAUACAGAGUGCCAAAACCGUUGCAUUGGUUGGCCAGAGUGGGAGUGGAAAAUCAACAGUUAUCAGCUUGAUCGAACGGUUUUAUGAUCCUCAGCUCGGAGAAGUUCUAAUAGAUGGAGUGAAUAUCAAGGAGUUGCAGUUAAAGUGGAUCAGAAGUAAAAUUGGCUUGGUGAGCCAGGAGCCGGCCCUGUUUGCAGCUAGCAUAAGAGAUAACAUAGCUUAUGGUAAGGACAAUGCGACAGAUCAGGAAAUCAGAGCUGCGGCUGAGCUUGCUAACGCCUCCAAAUUCAUUGAUAAAUUACCCCAGGUUAGAAGACCGACAAACCUUUGAAUUUGCAUUAACUGGUAAUUAGUUGUAAAUAGAUGAAGCAGGACCCAGGACCUAGGCAAUUCUAUACACUGAAGAAAGAACUAGAUGUUAGACUAUUCUGCCUCAUAUAUUGAAUCUCUGCUGUUUGUGACAUUCCUUAGGGUUUCACUACUUCGGUUGGUGAACAUGGAACACAACUAUCUGGUGGACAAAAGCAAAGGAUUGCCAUUGCCAGAGCGAUUCUCAAAGAUCCAAGAAUCCUGCUAUUGGACGAAGCGACAAGCGCUUUGGACACUGAAUCUGAAAGGAUUGUGCAGGAGGCUCUUGAUAGGGUCAUGACCAAUCGGACCACUGUCAUUGUUGCACACCGUUUGACUACUGUAAGGAAUGCCGAUACAAUUGCUGUCAUCUGCCGAGGAUCAAUAGUUGAAAAAGGUAUUAUUCUGAAACAUUGGCAUCUGUGAUUCUAAAUAAUCAUAUAGUACCUCUUACACAUGUUAUAUGUCAGCAAAUGCUCACUAGCUGAAACAUUUGACAAUCACCAGGUCCGCACCAUGACCUUUUAAGGGACCCAGAAGGAGCUUACAGCCAACUGAUACGUCUACAGGAAACAAGUCGUGCUUCUGAGGGUGCAAGCAAUCAAAACAAGUCGGGUAGGAAGAGUGAUACUGGGAUUUGGUUAGGCAAACAGUCAUUGGCAAAUCAGUCAAGUAGCCAAAGGUCAUCUCGGGACAACAGUAGCCAUCACUCAUUCUCAGUGCCAUUCGGCAUACCUCAUGAAAUUGAUGUUCAGGUUGGCUGCUCGAAGAAUAUAACUGAUGAAAUACAACAGGAAGUGCCCCUCAGUCGCCUGGCAUCCCUUAACAAACCAGAGGUCCCGGUGCUCAUACUUGGUUCUGUUGCUUCUGCUAUCAGCGGAGUGAUAUUCCCGAUCUUUGCAAUACUUUUGUCGAAUGUGAUCAAAGCAUUCUAUGAGCCCCCACAAAUGCUAAAGAAGGAUGCUGCGUUUUGGUCAUCCAUGUUCUUGAUAUUUGGUGCAGUCUACUUCUUGUCGCUCCCUGUCGGCUCAUACUUUUUCUCAGUGGCUGGGUGCAAGCUCAUCAGAAGGAUCAGACUAAUGACUUUUGAGAAGGUUGUCAAUAUGGAGAUUGGAUGGUUUGAUGACCCACAUAACUCAAGUGGCUCAAUUGGGUCAAGGCUAUCGUCAGAUGCAGCAAAAGUUAGAGGGCUUGUGGGUGAUACACUUCAACUGGUUGUGCAGAACACUUCAACAUUAGUUGCUGGCCUGGUAAUUGCUUUCGUAUCAAACUGGGAGCUAUCUCUUAUCAUUUUGGCGUUGAUACCACUCAUCGGCCUGAAUGGAUGGAUCCAGAUGAAAUUUAUCCAGGGAUUCAGUGCAGAUGCAAAGGUAUAUGCCAGAAAUCAUAAAAUUGUUGAUUUAUUUUCUUUGUCAAUCUAUUGUGCAAUCUCUAUGUCAAUCAGAAUUAGAUAGUUACAAAUACUUCUGUUCUGUUGGGUCACUGAUUCUCAAAUAUGAUUGUAGAUGAUGUACGAGGAGGCAAGUCAAGUGGCAAAUGAUGCAGUAAGUAGCAUAAGGACAGUGGCCUCAUUUUCAGCUGAAGAGAAGGUGAUGGAUUUGUACAACAAAAAGUGCGAAGGACCGCUACAAACAGGAAUCAGGACAGGAAUAAUAAGUGGUAUUGGUUUUGGAGUUUCCUUCUUUUUGCUGUUUGGAGUCUACGGAGCAAGCUUCUAUGCUGGUGCUCGGCUUGUCGAGGAUAAGAAAACAACAUUUCCCAAAGUUUUCAGGGUAUGUCGAAUGUUCAUUAUGAGUUCUUUACAUAUCUCAGUAUUCAAUCAUAAGUAAGCACUUACAUUUCAAUGCACACUGAUCAAUCAUACAUUGCCACAUAAAUUCAGACCAGAACGUGCCUAGUAUUUUGACAACAGUUAAAAGGUCGUGUCUGGUUAAUUGUUACUUCGGAGUUACUAAAGAUUAUUGUACCUUUGGCAUGUCAAAAUGCAGGUGUUUCUUGCUCUUACAAUGGCAGCAAUCGGGGUAUCGCACACUAGCACCCUCACUUCAGAUUCCUCCAGAGCAAGAUCAGCCGUAUCUUCUAUAUUCGCCAUCGUGGAUCGUAAAUCGAUGAUUGACCCAAGUGAUGACGCCGGGGUGAAUGUAGAACCACUAAGGGGCGAUAUCGAGUUUCGGCACGUGAGGUUCAGAUACCCGACCCGCCCUGACAUUCAGAUCUUCGAGGACCUAUGCUUGACAAUCCAGUCAGGAAAGGUACCAACCUCAACCCAACCCAGGUUUAACCGAUCAGCAAACAAUGUACAGGUUUGCCGAACUGAACCUAACUAACUAUCUGCCCCGUGAACCUGCCUCUCAGACUGUCGCGCUUGUCGGGGAGAGCGGCAGCGGCAAAUCGACGGCGAUAUCACUGCUGCAGAGAUUCUACGACCCUGACGCAGGCCACAUACUUCUGGACGGGGUGGACAUCCAGAAGUUCCAGGUGAGGUGGCUGAGGCAGCAGAUGGGGCUGGUGAGCCAAGAGCCGGCCCUCUUCAACGACACGAUCCGAGCGAACAUUGCCUACGGAAAGGAAGGGGAGGCCACGGAAUCAGACAUCGUGUCCGCCGCGCAACUCGCGAAUGCCCACAAGUUCAUCAGCUCACUCCAUAAGGUGAGGGAUUCAUUCUUCCAUGCACAGGUCGAUGUAUAGCUGCAUUUGAUGUCCGUAAUAUCUCGUCGUGGAUUUGUCGAUCAUACCUGGGAUUGCUUGCAGGGGUACGACACGGUGGUCGGGGAGCGCGGCGCUCAGCUGUCGGGAGGGCAGAAGCAGCGGGUGGCGAUCGCGCGGGCCGUGGCCAAGGACCCCAGGAUCCUGC